GACGAACGCUGGCGGCGUGCCUAACACAUGCAAGUCGAACGAGGUCCAUCCUUCGGGAGAAGACCUAGUGGCGAACGGGUGAGUAACACGUGAGAAACCUGCCCCGAAGACCGGGAUAACCCUCCGAAAGGAGAGCUAAUACCGGAUGCCCCCACCGAGCCGCAUGGCUUGGUGAGGAAAUGGAUUCCGCUUCGGGAGGGUCUCGCGGCCUAUCAGCUAGUUGGUGGGUAACGCCACAAGGCAUCGACGGGUAGCUGGUCUGAGAGGACGAUCAGCCACACUGGGACUGAGACACGGCCCAGACUCCUACGGGAGGCAGCAGUGGGGAAUCUUGCGCAAUGGGCGAAAGCCUGACGCAGCAACGCCGCGUGGGGGAUGAAGGCUCUCGGG
rnacentral:rRNA from 1 species